ensembl:lncRNA
CAUGUGGCCCCUCGGGAGGCAGCCGGUGUCCUGGUUCGCUCCACCACCCCGAAGUAAGGCCUUCAAGGUUACCCCCACUCCACCCACUCACCAGGUCUCAGGCCUCGGAUUAUAAUCCUGAGGAUUAUGGAGGCCUUCUGGCAUCACACUCGUGUCUUGGUGGUGCAGUGUGGAUAUAGACUUAGGACCCUCCGCUUAUCCUUGGCACCCAGAACUCCAGUUCUGGGCCCUCCUGGCAAGGGGUGAAUUGGGUUUGGGCAAGAUGCCAAGCAACUGGAUUGGGGGACUGUGGGGUGUCCCACCUCUCCCUCCCAGACUGAAUUCCUCCUGGGCAACUUCUCUGUCUCAGCCUUGGACCCAUACACCAGUAGGCCCUUGAAUAGAGACUUCUAACCCUGUCCUCUCUCCCCUGAAGGUGGUAGCGAAGUCCUGGGGGCCCAGGAAGGCACCCUCUAGGGGUAAGGGGAGGAGCCUGUUAAUCUUACUUGAUUUAUCUCUUAGAUCUUAACCAGAAGUCCCUUCCGGAUCCAAAUGAACAGAAUAUGACCUUCAACCUAAUUAGAAUAUGGGAGGGGAGCCCAGGUAGAUAGGUACAUUUUGAAUAGUGGUUGGGUGAUCCUGGCAGCCAGGUUGGGACCUCCAACAUUUGUUCCUUCUCUACUGGGAAGGCACUCCUGCCCUCCUUUACUUCACCUUGCUCUGACAGUGGAGACAGAAGCCAUGGCUUCCUGGCUUGGUUUUCUAAUUCAUGUUCUUUCUGUUUCUUCUGUAGCCCAGGUGCUUAACUUAGGCCAAAGCAAAGCAGUAUAAGACCAAGUGUUAAUACUUGUUCUGCUGUACCAGUUCAACCCAGCCUCAGCCCAGGCCUUUCCAAUUGCCUCUACUGAACUUCCGAGGUUAACCCAGCCCAGCUUUGCCAUAGAAGUCCCCUCUGGCAACCAAUGGAAGAGCCGUGAUUUUAUAAGGAAGACAUGAUGAGAAUUUUCCUCUGCGUAUGGUCCCCAAUUCUUCACCCCUCCCCUGCCCCCCAUCCCCACAUACUCUUGAUCCCAGGGAACUCAUCAGUUCUGCUGGAAGCUACCCCUACAGAAUUUGUAGCAGGAAGCUAUAAUCUAUCUAGGGCAAUUCCCUUAAUCCAUCUAAGCUGCUGUCCCAUAACCUGACACUGUAAAGUCUUGGAAGACUCUGCCACCUAAUAAGAGCUAUAGAAGUGCUAGCAUUUAUGCCAACAGAGACCCAGAGAGAUGAAAUCAUAUGUCUGCCCCACCAACAAACAGGAUUAUGGGUAUCAGAUGAGGCAGUAAAGGGAAAUGCUGGUAAUCUUUGCCCUGGCUCCUACCACCAUGUGACCUUAGGAAAGUUACUCAGCCUCUCUGGGCCUCGAAUGUGCCACUAAAAUGGAGGUGAGGGAGUUCCCAUCAUGGCUCAGCAGAAACAAAUCUGACUAGUAUCCACGAGGAUGCAGGUUCAAUCCCUGGCCUCGCUCAAUGGAUUAAGGAUCCGCCGUUGCCGUGAACUGUGCUGUAGGUUGCAGAUGUGGCUUGAAUUCCUUGUUGCUACAGUGUAGGCUGGCAGCUGCAGCUCUGAUUCAACUCCUAGCCUGGGAACUUACAUACGCUGCAGAUGUGGCCCUAAAAAGACUAAAAUAAAAUAAAAUAAAAUGGAGGUGAUACCAGUGCCCAGUUCAUAGGGCUGCUGUGAGGACUAAAUAAAAUGAUGUCCACAGAACAUUAACCCUAGGCCUGGCCCACAGUGCUCCCUAGGUGUCAGGUACUUGUGAUCAUGGUGAUGGGCAGGAAGCUUUAUGUAGACAUGCUCUACCAUUGGUAAAGCAUGUUUGGAAAUUCCACAGAACGGCUAAGUGGUGUGCCCAGUGUUGCCUGCUGGUAUGUUUCAGGGCUGACACCAAAUCUUGUGAGCCCCAAGUUCAUGAAUUACUGUCACUAAUUAUUUUGCUUCCUCUCAGUGCUAAUGUUUCAGAUGCUAGCCUGUCAUUUUGUUUCCCUUGCUCACCAGGGGUGCCAUAAUCUGGGGCCACGUGGUGUUUGCCACCCAGGAGACAUCUCCCUAUGACAUAGCAGUGGUGAGCCUGGAGGAGGACCUAGAGGGUGUCCCCAUACCUGUUCCAGCUGAGGAUUUCCAUGAAGGCGAGGCCGUCACGGUGGUGGGCUUCGGCGUCUUCGGCCAGGCUUGUGGGCCCUCAGUGACCUCAGGCAUCCUAUCGGCUGUGGUGCAAGUAGAUGACACACCAGUUAUGCUACAGACCACAUGUGCCGUGCAUGGUGGCUCCAGCGGGGGACCUCUCUUCUCCACCUGCUCUGGGAACCUCUUAGGCAUCAUCGCCAGCAACACCCGGGACAAUAACACUGGGGCCACCUACCCCCACCUGAACUUCAGCAUUCCCAUCACGGUGCUCCAGCCGGCCCUGCAGCAGUACCAUCAGACAGGAGAUCUGGGCGGCCUCCGGCAGCUGGACCGCGCCACUGAGCCAGUCAGGGUGGUGUGGCGGCUGCAGCAACCCCAGACAGAGGCCCCACGGAGCAAGCUCUGAAGCUGUGUCUCCCCUCUGGAGAGAAGAGCAGCCACUUUAUGCCACAGGGAGUGCUAAAGCUGGUGACCUCAGAAUCCUGACCCAGCACGCUGCAGCUGGGCUGCCUCCCGUCGCCAGCCCUGGAGUCUGGAUCAAACUUCUCAUUAGCCUCUAUGGGUCUCUAACCUAGUCGCCCAUUUGAGGGGUGCUUUCUCGAGCCCCCAUCUCUCUCUGUCCCCUGACACUAGACUCAGCUCUGUUCUCUCCCCUUCUGGGGAACCCAGAAUGACUGUACAACAGCCCUGGUCCUGACAGACGGAUGGGAGUUGGAAGGCAGGUCCAGCCCUGGGUUUGAGUCUGCUCCCUGUCUCCUGAUGGCCACCGGCCGCCUGGAGCAGUUGCUUCCUGCACCCUGAGCUCCUCUCUGCUCUGGGUCAGAAUGGGGCUGGCAGAGCACUGGGGCUUCCUCAGAAAAAUGGGCACAGAGGCCCUGUUCUGAAGACCAGAGGUGAAAGGAGGGCAUCUUCCUGUUCCGCUAGACCAGAGGCGGUGGCGUGCCUGAAAGCCAGGACUCCUGGCUCUUCAUAUGCCAGGGGCCCUGACCUACAGGGAUGCUCUGACACAGUGCCUUAAUUUUCCAGCCCAUAAAAUGGGCCUCAGGGAUCUGGGGACAGGGGGCUGGGAUGUGUCUGGUUGGGGUUUGGGAAUAAACAGGAUCGAUAGGAGACAGGACCUACUUCUAUAUAUCAGCUUCUUUUUCUCCUCCUCCUUUGUUUCGAGAGUUGAGUGGGAAAUAGGAAAGCACCAGGCACAGAAAUACAGCUUUUCUGUCCUGCUUUCUCAGUGCGGCUUCAUCUCACAGGACACUCGUGCCAGACUAGUCCUGGUAGCUGGUCCUGGUGCCAGUCACCACGGGGUGGGGCUUGCAGAUCCCGGAGGGUGGUGAUCUUAGCCUGGCUUCAGGUGUUCAGAAAGUGCCCAGGCCUUUGCCAGGCCCUGGAAGUGGGUGGGAGUGGGCAGUUCAAAGGGGAAUGAGGCCAAGGCAGCCCCUUGGAGCUAAGACCAACCCUGGGGGUCAGGAGCAUACACUGUGUGUGUGCCCAGGGCCCUACACAUGUAGGCCCUCAAGCAAUGAUUGUUAAAUCAUCAAUAGGUUGGGCCCCUCAUCUUACUGCAUCUGGGGCUGCCCUUUCAGAGGAGCCAUGGCCAGGGUUGAUCCAUCCAGGCUGGGAGGGGUGCUCCACCAUGGGUGUGGAUUGCAGGUGAAGCUGGGUGCUGUCAACUGAAGCUGUGGGAGCAGGUGGAGUGAAGGGCCUGGGGCCAGAGCAGGAGCCUGCCAGGGGCUGAGAAGAGACAAGCAGAAGCACAGGAAGAAAACCGGGGAGGCUAAGACCUAGGUCAGUGGGGCAGACACCAGAAUCUGUUUUCCUCACUUCUUUCCGGUCCUGGCCACCCUCGCAGUCAGGUGUGUCUGUGAGUUCCAACUCACGGUACCAGAGCAGAAGGGAGGUUUGCCACUUCCAGGCUGGCUUAUAGAAACUUAUCUGGACUUCUCUGCACCCUUACCCCCACCCCCCGCCCCUGGUGGGAGUGAAGGCAACCCUUUAAAGAGACCUUGGGAGCCAUUUAUUAAAGAUGGCCCCCUCGUUCUGGUCCCUGGAUGACGGUGUGGAGGGGGCAGCCUCAUUAACCAGUCCAUCGGCCAGGUACUGAAACCCAGGCCAGAAUUGCACUUCUGCUGCAUUUGAGCCAUUAGACGGGGGGAUCUAUUCGUCACAGCCAUAGAACCUGUCCUCAUAAAGUCUUUGCCUACCUGGGAGCACUAGGCCAAACCACAUUUCGAGGGAGAGUCCUCCUGUCAUCUGAGGGUUAUACAUUUCACUAAAACCAACCAGGCUCUUUGGAUGAAGCUAAGAGUUGUCUCUUCCUUGAGUGGGGUUAGCACUUCUAUUUCUUUGGGUCCCCGGGUUGAGCCCAGUACCUUGGAGUUCCUCCCAGCCCUGGGAGACCAUAGUAGGGUCACCUGUUGCUGUCAGAGACUGUCCUCAGGCCUGGGUGCGCUCACUCAUCAUGGCUGAGAGCCAGCAAUGCUUCCUUCUCAUAGACUCUGUGAUAUUUAAUCUGUGUGCCAUUCUGGUUAAUCAUUAAAGUUCCACAGAACUA